rnacentral:rRNA from 1 species
AAAUUGAAGAGUUUGAUCAUGGCUCAGAUUGAACGCUGGCGGCAGGCCUAACACAUGCAAGUCGAGCGGUAGCACAGAGA